UGCAGUGUGGCUCAGUGGAAAGAGCAUGGGCUUGGGAGUCAGAGGUCAUGGGUUCGAAUCCCACCUCUCCCA
rfam:Ornithorhynchus anatinus chromosome 3, whole genome shotgun sequence.